rnacentral:RNase_P_RNA from 1 species
GUUUCGCGUUGGAUGGUCGCUCCGAUGUUACAUCGGAGAGGAAAGUCCGAACUGUCUCCCGCCGAUGAGGUGGGAUAAAAUGGUAGCGGGUAACGCCCGUCGCUUAGCUCGCGUUUUCGCGGGCGGUAGAGGUGCGAACAGAGACGAGUCCCGCUUCGGCGGGAGGUGAAACGGCUAAAUCCUUACCUGACUGCAAGGCCGUGUCCGCCGAUGAGGCGGAAGUGCCGCUUGACUCCGACGGUAACGUCGGAGCUAGAUAAAUGGCUGUCUAAAACAGAAUUCGGCUUACGGACGCGAGAUGCAA